UACGUAGGUCCUGAGCGUUGUCCGGAUUUAUUGGGCGUGAAGCGAGCGCAGGUGGUUUAUUAAGUCUGGUGUAAAAGGCAGUGGCUCAACCAUUGUAUGCAUUGGAAACUGGUAGACUUGAGUGCAGGAGAGGAGAGUGGAAUUCCAUGUGUAGCGGUGAAAUGCGUAGAUAUAUGGAGGAACACCGGUGGCGAAAGCGGCUCUCUGGCCUGUAACUGACACUGAGGCUCGAAAGCGUGGGGAGCAAACAGG
rnacentral:rRNA from 1 species